UACGUAGGUCCCGAGCGUUGUCCGGAUUUAUUGGGCGUAAAGCGAGCGCAGGUGGUUUAUUAAGUCUGGUGUAAAAGGCAGUGGCUCAACCAUUGUAUGCAUUGGAAACUGGUAGACUUGAGUGCAGGAGAGGAGAGUGGAAUUCCAUGUGUAGCGGUGAAAUGCGUAGAUAUAUGGAGGAACACCGGUGGCGAAAGCGGCACUCUGGCCUGUAACUGACACUGAGGCUCGAAAGCGUGGGGAGCAAACAGG
rnacentral:rRNA from 1 species